GCAACCGUUGAGAUAUUUUGCGCGUGCCCAAUUAUAACGCAGUUAGUUAACGGGAGGCGAUGGCUUCCGAUGCUAUUUGUUGCACUAACACUAGUGGAUUUUGUCUCACUAUCCAUCUCUUUUUCGCAACCGUCUUCGUCUGAAAUCCACUCGUUGGUAACUGUUUCUAUAUUUUUUUUAUCUUUUUCACUUAGCAAACUGGAUAGAAGAUUGAUUUUUUCAUAAAAUGAGCGUUUAUCCGGAGGCCACUUCGGCCCCAAAAGAGGAGGGUGAUUAUCACCAUCCAUCACUCGCAAAUUUAAUUCUCACAGAAAAAAAAACUUUGAAUUAAAAUCAAUUAAUGAAGCGCUGCCUGAAACACGUCCACACUCGUUCGCGUUACCAGAGAGAAAAUCCGGUCGAAAUUUACGUUCAACGAAUGAAGUUGACUGCAAAUGAAGUUACUUGACCAAUUGCUACCUGCACUGUUUUUUUACUUUUCUAAACCUAAAAUUAGUUUUAUUUUUGUUUAACAACACACACUGCCACCACUAGGAUGAGGACACACUAUUUGGAAUCAAUUUAUCGCUUUUUAUAGCUGGUGGAAGUGCUGUACCCGGACACUUUUACUACGUGAAUAGGUAUUUAUUUCACCAUUACAAAUUCAUAAAAUUGAAGAGAAAAUUAGAAACUAGCGUAAUGAACUACUAAAAAACCAUAUUAAAAACAUGUUCGCCCUGUAUGAGGCCAUUACGAGUAUUUUCUUCCAAAAACGAUUGUAGCGAAUAUCCCAAAGAGUGUUGAAAACAGCUGUUUUGGGCUCUGGAAAGACUUUGACAGAGCUACAAUAGAUGCUUUCAAGGAUUUAGGACUCUCAGGGCUUGAAAUAGCAACAAAAUUAUGAACAAUCAUACUGAUGAUUCACAAAAAGCGGUCAUUUGUAGAGCUUGAAGCAUCGGAUGAAUUUGGCAAGAGACCAUAUUACUUAGAGCAGUAAAUGCUAACACGUUGUCUUUUCUGGUGAAAAAAAGUUUAAGCUUGAUGGGCCGUUGGUUACAACUAGUAUUUUAAUGAUAUGAAAAAGGAUGAAUUGGUGUGGGCAGCUAUUACCUACUAUUGCACAAUUGACUUAGUUUUUCUCGGCAAUAUUAAACGUUACAAACUACAAAUGUUUGCUAGGUCAUUUCUCAUUUCCAAUUUAAAACCAUUUUUCGACUUCUGCCUUAGAUUUUCCAAAAAGACAGUGACCCAUUUCCAAUUUGAGGGUUGUUAGAAGUUGAAUUGAAUGAGAAGACGUGCAAUAUUUGCCAAAACGUUUGGCCAUGGGUUUUUUGUAAGGUUUAUGAAGCUGGCAGACAAUUUGAAGACAAGGCAUAGACAGGUACAUAAUACAUAAAUAUAGGUACAUAUAUUUAUAUUAUUUUUUUACCUAUUACUACAUUGGACUGCAUUUUUAAACUUUGAAUAAGGAUUAAUUAACCAUUCUCGAUUUUCUUAGCACGAAAUGUAUUUUUUUAAUUUUCGUAAGAACUUCCUUGAGUUCAAAUCUAAUCGUAUUGCGUAAUUGGAUAUGACCCUCCACCCUUUAUUUUAAAUUAUUUAUUUGUUAUAAACUACUCAAAACAAAAUUCAUUUUGUAUUUUGCUUUAAAAUGCAUAUGUAAUUGGUGAGCAUUAUGGAAGCCCAGCAUUUUAUUACUAAGUUUGCGUGUGUAUGAUUCCAUAUCAUGGGUUAAGGUACACCAGUAAGCAUUUAAAUUGGACCAUGAAUAACUGUAACCUGGCACUCAUGUCAGUGAUGAAACCAUUCGUAAUCGACUCCACGAGGAUGGUCAAAGUUCCAGAGUGCGAGUUAUUCCGCAGAAACUUACACCGGCCCAUCGGACAGCGCGAUUAAGGCGACGUUUGCAAAAACAUAACUUUUCAUUGAUGAUAAACGAGUACGAGUGUAGAUUUUAGCGACCUGUGCAUUUACGAUUUGGGGACCCCAGUGUUAUGGUAUGGCCUGGCCGUUAUACGCUUUCAUAUUAUACGGUCACUAAAGUAUACGGCACCCGGACGUCGCGAAAAGCUUAGUGGCGUACGUGACGAUAUGCAUGUUUUCGCAUCAUACGAUUUUAUUCGUGCGUCGGAGUUCGAUCAGCCAAUUCAAGACACGAUUACUAACCUGUGCAAAAAGUAUACUACGAACAGGAACCCUACAUAUAUCGUGUUUUACCGUACGGUUAAAACCUUAUAAUGUGUAAUUAGCCAUUGAUCCAGUUUAUGUCGUCUGUUUUUUUGCGGGCACGGUCAAAACCGUGUAGUGUGAAACGAGCCUAAGUUGGUUAGGCAGAACAGAGCUGAUUAUCCUGAUGGUAAAACGACCUGUUGUGAUCAUAUUUUCAUAAAAAGAAGCCUCAAAGAAAACCACAGCUGUGUCAACACUUUACGGUACCGUACGAGAUAAGUUUAUACGGAGGCCCUUCUCGGUACUAAAAGCAAAAGAAAUCAACAAGGAAUCAUAACAACAAAUAGUGUGUAACUUUUGUCCGUGUUAAAAGUUGCACACUAGUACUUAAUAUUUAGCCAACAAAGCCAGACGAAAGCCAAACAACUUUGUGGGCAAAACCUUGUAAGAUCUCAAUAAAUUGGAAAAAUCUACUUUUUGAGGUGAAUUUGGUGAAUUGGGAUUGAAACAUGAAUUUAAAUAAUAACAACAAAAGUGUCACUUUCACUAAUUGAAACACAUAAUGAACAUUUCAUAUCUAAUAAUUUAAUAUCUUGGAAUCUCUCGAGAAUUGAAUAGAGAAGAGAUUCCGAAACGUGUAAUGUUUGAGUACCUCACUAUUGUUUCUUCUCAAAUUAUUUUUCUACAUUAGAUUGUUUGUUUUUAGUUUUUAGAGAAAUUAAGUACCUAUUUAUUUAAAUUUAAGAGAUCAAAAUAUUUGCAAAAGGUGCACCCAAAACAAUAUUUUUUUAAAUUCACAUUUUAACAUCAGCUUUAAUCUACGUAAAGGCAGACUGAAAGCUGUAGUAAUAAGUCCGAAGAUUAUCCGCAAUUAAAAAAAUCAAGGCAAUUCUUCAUAUUAAAUUCUGUAUUAUAUUCCUAGGAAAAAAGAUACAAAAUUUCUUUUUUAGCAUUUGUAGAAUGCUUCUAGCUUCUUUUUAGUUUAUUUUGGGGACAAUUUCUUUUUUAUUUUCAUAAUAUAUGUAUGUAUGUAUGUACCUUUUAAAAAAGGCUCCUUUCUAAAUUAAUUAAAUAUCAAACCUUAAAAUUCUGAGGGAAUUAAACUAACUCAAUUAAACGGAUGUUCAAAGCCAAAUAUGGGGCGAAAUGGAUCAACAAGAUAUAAAACAAAUGUAUCUCUUAUAAUGAAUAGUUAAAAAAGACUACAUACAUAUCUGAGUCUGCAGUGCGACAGACGAAAAAUCAUUAACUAUUUUGCUAUGUAAAAAAAAUUGUUUAGUGCCAUUGUUACGAGCUGUUGGAAUUCGCUAAAUCAUUUAGCAACGACAUUUGUGAGAAAUUCUUGAUCUGUCAAACUAAAAAUAAAACUGAAGCAGCUUUAAAAUAUAUUGGGAAAUUCAAUUAAAUUUUAUUAUGUAAUUAUUUUUUUCAAUAAAAGAAUAAAACGCAAACAAAGCAGUCGACAAAAAACAUUGGCUUAUUGUGUCAUGAAAGUUUGUUUAUAUGAAAAAUUGAUUUUAAGUUCAUUAUUUUCUCCCAAGCCAUAAAAAGACAUUACUUGUUUGCAAACAAAUCAUACACUUUGACAGUUAAACACUUUUAACUCAGCUCCCAUGCUAAGUUGCGAAUUGUUACAUCGUAACUAGCUAUUUGACUUUUCAACAAUGAGCUUAGAAAAGAUGCAAUGACGUCAUAUUGUAACAAUUUAAAUUAAGGAACGAUUAUAGUUAACGAUUGUUAAAAAUAGUUUGUGAAAGAAAAGACCUCUCCCAGAGCUAUUGGAUAUGAAAUAAAUAAUGAAAAUAUUUUAUCAGUUAAAAAUUGAGUAGACAAAUGUUAACGAACUAUCAAAGCAAUAUAAUGCCUCUUUAUAAUUUUAGUAUAACCCUGAAAUUCCUGUUAUUAUUGUUUUGUGUCACAAAUUGCAGCACCUUAAUCCCAAACUUAAUUUCUGGAUCCUCGGCAUAAAUAUG